rnacentral:lncRNA from 1 species
GUCCGUUCGUCUGUCCGUCCGUUCGUCCCACUUCAGGUUAAAGUUUUUGGUCAAGGUAGUUUUUGAUGAAGCUGAAGUCCAAUCAACUUGAAACUUAGUACUCAUGUUCCUUAUGAUAUGAUCUUUCUUAUUUUAAAACAAAAUUAGACUUUUGAUCCCAUUUUCAUGGUCCACUGAACAUAGAAAUUAAAAAAGUGAGUUUCAGGUUAAAGUUUUUGGUCAAGGUAGUUUUUGAUGAAGUUAAAGUCCAAUCAACUUGAAACUUAGUACACAUGUUCCCUAUUGGUUGAUCUUUUUACUGUAAAGGCCAAAUUAGAUUUUUUACCCAAUUUCACGGUCCAUUUAACAUGAAAAAUGAUAAUGCGAGUAGGGCAUCCGUGUACUUUGGAC